rnacentral:rRNA from 1 species
AUUGAACGCUGGCGGCAUGCCUUACACAUGCAAGUCGAACGGCAGCGCGGGAGCAAUCCUGGCGGCGAGUGGCGAACGGGUGAGUAAUACAUCGGAACGUGCCCAAUCGUGGGGGAUAACGCAGCGAAAGCUGUGCUAAUACCGCAUACGAUCUACGGAUGAAAGCAGGGGAUCGCAAGACCUUGCGCGAAUGGAGCGGCCGAUGGCAGAUUAGGUAGUUGGUGAGGUAAAGGCUCACCAAGCCUUCGAUCUGUAGCUGGUCUGAGAGGACGACCAGCCACACUGGGACUGAGACACGGCCCAGACUCCUACGGGAGGCAGCAGUGGGGAAUUUUGGACAAUGGGCGAAAGCCUGAUCCAGCCAUGCCGCGUGCAGGAUUAAGGCCU